GAUGAACGCUGGCGGCGUGCCUAAUACAUGCAAGUCGAGCGAACAGACGAGGAGCUUGCUCCUCUUACGUUAGCGGCGAACGGGUGAGUAACACGUGGAUAACCUACCUAUAAGAGGGGGAUAACUUCGGGAAACCGGAGCUAAUACCGGAUAACAUCUUGAACCGUAAGGUUCAACAGUGAAAGAUGCAAUUGCUUCCACUUAUGGAGAUAUCGGGGUGGCAUUACCUGGUGGGUAGGUUAAGGGCUCACCAAGGCAACGAUCCGUAGCCGACCGGAGAGGGUGAUCGGCCACACGGGAACGGAGCCACGGUCCAGACCCUUCCGGGAGGCACCAGUAGGGAACCUUCGGCAAUGGGCGAAAGCUUGACGGAGCAACGCCGCGUGAGUGAAGAAGGUCUUCGGAUCGUAAAACUCGGUUAUUAGGGAAGAACAAAUGUGUAAGUAAAUAUGCACGUCUUGACGGUACCUAAUCAGAAAGCCACGGCUAACUACGUG
rnacentral:rRNA from 1 species